rnacentral:rRNA from 1 species
UACAGAGGGGGCAAGCGUUGUUCGGAAUUACUGGGCGUAAAGGGCGCGUAGGCGGCCUGCUAAGUCGAACGUGAAAUCCCUGGGCUCAACCCAGGAUCUGCGUCCGAUACUGGUUGGCUUGAAUCCGGGAGAGGGGUGUGGAAUUCCAGGUGUAGCGGUGAAAUGCGUAGAUAUCCGGAGGAACACCGGUGGCGAAGGCGGCUUCCUGGACCGACACUGACGCUGAGGCGCGAAAGCUAGGGGAGCAAACGGG